UACGUAGGGACCGAGCGUUGUCCGGAUUCAUUGGGCGUAAAGAGCUCGUAGGCGGCUGUUCAAGUCGAACGUGAAAACUCGGAGCUCAACUCCGAGCCUGCGUUCGAUACUGGACGGCUAGAGUCUGGUAGGGGGAUCUGGAAUUCCUGGUGUAGCGGUGGAAUGCGCAGAUAUCAGGAGGAACACCGGUGGCGAAGGCGGCUGACUGGUCCGGUUCUGACGCUGAGGCGCGAAAGCGUGGGGAGCAAACAGG
rnacentral:rRNA from 1 species